rnacentral:rRNA from 1 species
GACGAACGCUGGCGGCGUGCUUAACACAUGCAAGUCGAACGGAAAGGCCCUGCUUUUGUGGGGUGCUCGAGUGGCAAACGGGUGAGUAACACGUGAGUAACCUGCCCUUGACUUUGGGAUAACUUCAGGAAACUGGGGCUAAUACCGGAUAGGAGCUCCUGCUGCAUGGUGGGGGUUGGAAAGUUUCGGCGGUUGGGGAUGGACUCGCGGCUUAUCAGCGUGUUGGUGGGGGAGUGGCUUACCAAGGCUUUGGCGGGUAGCCGGCCUGAGAGGGGGACCGGCCACAUUGGGACUGAGAUACGGCCCAGACUCCUACGGGAGGCAGCAGUGGGGAAUAUUGCACGAUGGGCGGAAGCCUGAUGCAGCAACGCCGCGUGCGGGAUGACGGCCUUCGGGUUGUAAACCGUUUUCGCCUGUGACGAAGCGUGAGUGAAGGUAAUGGGUAAAUAAGCACCGGCUAACUACGUG